rnacentral:misc_RNA from 1 species
GCGCCGUAACAACCAAAUGACUGACAAUUACAAAAUAUUUACCAUCCAAAACUCACCAGCAUAUCCUCUCCGACUAAAGGCCGAUAAAAUUUCAACAAAACUUUACUGUUGUGUUCCGACUGUGGGCUUGAAAAUUUUACCCUCAACACUAAAUUUCUGUUUAGUGGUCUUAAACCCGCAACUGGAACCAACUUAGAUUGAUACAUCAGAUUCUGGUAUCCAAAUUUCAUCAUCCCAAAGCAAGAAUUGAGGCAGGUUUCAAAAUGGGGUGAGCUGAGAAACUAGCACCAACAAACACAUGAUAUGUUGACCUCUGAGACGCAGGGAAAAUAAGAGAGAGUGGGGAAAAGUAUUCAAGGUCAAGUCACUCCAUGAGAAA